GCUGAGUUGGGUAGUGCCAACUUGGGACCCAAGUGAGAGCACUAAAAUAAUGGGACAUGGCUAUGGCUUGUCUUGGCUGAGCUGGUUUCUGCAAUAUGCUGGCUUGUCCGCUCCAAGUUGAGAGUUGUGCCAUGGGACUUUGGCAUACGCCUUCGUCUCAUGGCUCCUAGACUAGAGGGCACUGCGUGAGGCUCUGCUCACAGAGCAGCGAAGACCUCUCCCUCCUGACAGUGGAGGGAUUACAAGCUGCUGUACUUCUAGUCUACUAAGCCGGUGAGCCUAGCCUUUGAACCAUCAUUUUU
rnacentral:SRP_RNA from 2 species